UACGUAGGGUGCGAGCGUUAAUCGGAAUUACUGGGCGUAAAGCGUGCGCAGGCGGUUUGUUAAGACAGGUGUGAAAUCCCCGGGCUUAACCUGGGAAUGGCGCUUGUUACUGGCAGGCUAGAGUGUGUCAGAGGGAGGUAGAAUUCCACGUGUAGCAGUGAAAUGCGUAGAGAUGUGGAGGAAUACCGAUGGCGAAGGCAGCCUCCUGGGAUAACACUGACGCUCAUGCACGAAAGCGCGGGGAGCAAACAGG
rnacentral:rRNA from 1 species